rnacentral:rRNA from 1 species
AUGGAGCUCGUCACGGGUGCCAUGGGCAGCCUGCUCCCCAAGCUGGGCAAGCUGCUCCUGGAGGAGUACAAGCUGCACAAGGGCGUCAAGGAAAAUAUCGAGGACCUCCGGAAGGAGCUUGAGAGCAUGAACGCUGCCCUCGUCAAGAUUGAUGAGGUGCCGCGGGACCAGCUGGACAGACAAGACAAGCUCUGGGCCGAUGAUGUCAGAGAUCUCUCCUACAAGAUUGAGGAUGUCGUCGACAAGUUCCUCGUGCACGUCGACCGCAUUCAGCCCGACGACACCACCAAUGGAUUCAAGGGUCUCAUGAAUAGGACGGCCGAGUUGUUCAAGAAAGGCAAGGAUCGGAAUCGGAUAGGUCACGCGAUGAAGGGCAUCCAGGAGGAACUUCAGAAGGUAGCUGCUAGGCGUGACAGGAACAAGGUAGUUGUCCCUAAUCCUACGGAACCAAUUGCUAUCGAUCCUUGUCUUCGAGCUUUGUACACAGAAGCAGCAGAGCUAGUUGGCAUAUAUGGCAAGAGGGAUCAGGAACUCAUGAGUUUGCUAUCCUUGGAGGGCGAUGAUGCCUCUAACAAGAGACUGAAGAAGGUCUCCAUUGUUGGAUUUGGAGGGUUGGGCAAGACCACUCUUGCUAGAGCAGUAUACGGCAAGAUUAAAGGUGAUUUCGAUUGUCGGGCAUUUGUCCCCGUCGGCCGGAACCCCGACAUCAAGAAGGUUUUUAGGGAUAUCCUCAUUGAUCUCGGAAAAUCUCACUCAGAUGUUGCCAUGUUGGAUGAAAGGCAGCUUAUCGACAAGCUUCAUGAAUUCCUGGAGAACAAGAGGUAUCUGGUCAUAAUUGAUGAUAUAUGGGAUGAAAAAUUGUAG